UGCAGUCGGACGGCAGCGCGAGGGGCAACCCUGGCGGCGAGUGGCGAACGGGUGAGUAAUACAUCGGAACGUGUCCUGGAGUGGGGGAUAGCCCGGCGAAAGCCGGAUUAAUACCGCAUACGCUCUGUGGAGGAAAGCGGGGGAUCUUCGGACCUCGCGCUCAAGGGGCGGCCGAUGGCAGAUUAGCUAGUUGGUGGGGUAAAGGCCUACCAAGGCGACGAUCUGUAGCUGGUCUGAGAGGACGACCAGCCACACUGGGACUGAGACACGGCCCAGACUCCUACGGGAGGCAGCAGUGGGGAAUUUUGGACAAUGGGGGCAACCCUGAUCCAGCAAUGCCGCGUGUGUGAAGAAGGCCUUCGGGUUGUAAAGCACUUUUGUCCGGAAAGAAAACCGCUUCUCUAAUACAGGGGCGGGAUGACGGUACCGGAAGAAUAAGCACCGGCUAACUACGUGCCAGCAGCCGCGGUAAUACGUAGGGUGCAAGCGUUAAUCGGAAUUACUGGGCGUAAAGCGUGCGCAGGCGGUUCGCUAAGACCGAUGUGAAAUCCCCGGGCUUAACCUGGGAACUGCAUUGGUGACUGGCGGGCUAGAGUAUGGCAGA
rnacentral:rRNA from 2 species